rnacentral:rRNA from 1 species
AAAUUGAAGAGUUUGAUCAUGGCUCAGAUUGAACGCUGGCGGCAGGCCUAACACAUGCAAGUCGAACGGUAACAGGAAGCAGCUUGCUGUUUCGCUGACGAGUGGCGGACGGGUGAGUAAUGUCUGGGAAACUGCCUGAUGGAGGGGGAUAACUACUGGAAACGGUAGCUAAUACCGCAUAAUGUCGCAAGACCAAAGAGGGGGACCUUCGGGCCUCUUGCCAUCGGAUGUGCCCAGGUGGGAUUAGCUUGUUGGUGGGGUAACGGCUCACC